CACGUAGGGGGCAAGCGUUGUCCGGAUUUAUUGGGCGUAAAGAGCUCGUAGGCGGUUCGGUAAGUCGGGUGUGAAACCUCCAGGCUCAACCUGGAGACGCCACCCGAUACUGCUGUGACUAGAGUCCGGUAGGGGAGCGUGGAAUUCCUGGUGUAGCGGUGAAAUGCGCAGAUAUCAGGAGGAACACCGGUGGCGAAGGCGGUUCUCUGGGCAUGACCUGACGCUGAGGAGCGAAAGCAUGGGGAGCAAACAGG
rnacentral:rRNA from 1 species